CAAGAGUCAAAAAAAAAAAAAAAAGCUUCAACAUUUAGCAUAGAAGAUAGAAGGGACAUAGUUUAGUCAUGGGACUCAGCAGGUCAGCUUGACAGUUGGACUUGGUCUUUUGAAGGUCAUUUCCAACCUAAAUGAUUGUCUGUCUUAGAAGAAAGAGUUGUGGAGUGAGUUGAAAGCAUUGUUAUGAAUGUACAGAAUCCUGUACCUUAGAGACAAGGAUCUGCAGUUUGGAAUAAGAUGCUAAAAAUGGCUAAACACUUGAGCUAGGCUCUACUGCAUUUUGUUGCAGACCAAACUGAAAUAGUAGAAUUCUUUCAUCCCAUUCUGAGUAAAUGGUUCUGGUUAGACCUUGGUAGCAAUUUUAAAAAUUAAGAAUUCCUCUAAAAUCUGUCCGAUGGAGCUUAGUUUUUAGGUACAUGUAGCACAGGAUGCUGAAAAAGAUCACCUGCGUUCUGAGAGCCAUCAAACUACGGUAUGGAGUUAGGCACCUGAAGUCAGGAGGGAAGGAUUUUUCUUCUUGGAAGCAUAUUCCGAAAGGUGUUAUCUCUACUGAUGCAUGGGAGCAUGGAGUCCAUGUGUAAUUCUGUGACACUGGAUGCUGGAAGAAGCUAUGGAAGUCUUAUCAGAUUUCAAAAUCCUGUUUGAAGUGUAGAAGGUGGAGUACAUUGACACCAGUAUAAUGGUAGCAUCAAGGGUUAACAGAUGACUGGUUGCUAGUUUAUUACUAGCUGAAAUGGAAAGUAUUGCUCUGGCACUAUAAAAGACACUAGAACUUACAUUGCAAAAUCAGUAGGAUGCUGUAGCAGGAAACAGCCUGAUCAGAGAGAGGCUUUGUGGGGACAUUUUAUUUUAAGUAGGAUUCUGCCAGAACAUCUAGUCCUGGAUCUACAGAAAGAAGCUUUGCUGGCCCAGGAGUGAUGAAUUAUGCCUUCAGUUACCUUGAGAGAAGGCUGAAGAGGUCUCAGAGCACCCCUCCUGUAAGCACACGCUGAUCAAUAUUCCCUGUGAAUUAUCCCGGCUUGCACAGGCUCCCCUGGGCCUCAGCAACCUCAUACAAGAGGCAAAAGCUGUCUCAUACAGACUGCUCCUGCGAGCUGCAUUUUGAAACCUGUCCAAGGAGAUGAUAAAACUCCCUCUCCUCCUCCCACCUUCCAAUUCUAAAGAAGAAAAAACAAAUGAUUAUGGUGGCAGCAAAGCAGCAUUUUGAGAAAACAGCCCAUGAAAACAGCCCAAAUCAGAGGGGUUUCAAAUCCUAAAGCUCUCAACACUGUAGGAUGUGUUUUGCUUCAGUGUCCAAUCCUUCAGCCCUCUGAAAAGUGACAAGUAGCUGUGAGCCUCAUCGCUCUCCCCGGGUGACUUCCAUAAAUAAGCGAGUGGGUAGCAGAGGAACAAGCUGAGCCGGACAGGAGCUCUCAUAGGCUUUCUCCGAGAAUCGUGCACAGACAGUAAGCACCAUCUGCUGGCUUCCUCCUGAAAAAGGAAAAGAGAAUUUUUUUUGUCUGGUUGCACAUCCCUGCAGCUGUUCUGCUCCCAGUUUCAGGGCAAACAUAAAGAAAGAAACGGGUGCAACAACGACAGAAUGGGUGAUCCUCACCAGAGCAGGGCUGUCUGGGGAGCAUCAAUGACCCUGCUGGCAGAUCGAGAUAAUAUAGGAUAAAGAGAAGAAAGCUAAACUCAGUGAAAAAUCACAUGAAUUUUAUUAGCAUUCAAACUGAGCAACACUAAAGACCUUUUCACCUGUUUUUGUACUGUAUUCGAAACGUAAAUGCUUACCUUGGGAGUUCUCCCACCGAGGACAUGAGCCAAAUAUCAACACAGCCCUAAAAAAAAGAGAAAGAAAGAAAGAAACAGCCAAGAAACAUUUUGCAGAGAAACUCAUUUUUCCUCCUCAAAGGCAGGUUUGCCCAAAUAAGGAUGUGGGGAUUUGGCACACGUAGAGCAGGGCAGUAUUUAGCAGAUGGCUAAUUCAUGUUGUAGAUACUCAUUACCAAAGGACCAGCGAUUAAGGCAGCGAGAGCUGAAGGCACACAUCAGCUUCACAAAGCUGCUCAGCAAUUUGCAAAGAGAAAACCCAGAGUACCAAUAAAAGCAAUGAAUACGUGAGAAUUGCCAGCUUCCAAAAAACCAGUAGAGCCAGCCCCAGCCUGCGGAGCAAGACACAAAAUGCCCUGAGGACAGAUAAUUCACGGGGAAGUCCAGAUCCUGCUGGUUGUCGGGAGUUACAGACCUCUGGCCAUUCAAGUGUGGCCCCACGGCAUGGGAAGGGACAGGAACUGAGCUGCCCAAGACCCUGGGGAUGAGCUGGGGGAGAGGAGAGCAGCAGGGGAGCCUCCAGGUGCUACCUGUCAAGAAGGGCUCCAUCAGCACCAAGUGGGGAAAUAAAAGAGUUUGUCAUGGCCUGAGUGCUGGAAAUCCCACUUGUUCUGCCAGACAGGGAGAAAAGGGGAAGGAUGCCCAUCUUGCUAGCUCUAUCCAAGGGAUAGCUCUUUCCCAGAAGAUGCUUUAAUGCACCUUUGGAGCUGUCUCCUCAGACUAUGUCUGCAAUAUGAAAAUUGUGAGGUUUAGCUGUCUUGAGCCUACUGUUGCUGUACUGAUGGCAAGACAAAGUCCAUUUGGUAACUUCUUCCUGAUCAGGUUUGUCCUCCUAGGCAGUGGUGGGAAAUGAUGGCAGCAGAAAUGAGAGACAGCUUAACACUCGGCAUGGCUGGGGUCGAGUUGGUGGACUCAUAGCACGAGAUCUCUCACAGCUCCUUACAUUCACAGUCUCUGGCUUAUCCAGAACAAGAUGAAUAGCAAGUGCUGGAGGUUUCACUUGAGGAAAACAGCUCAUCCCAAACCUCUCAAACUUCUUCUUUCAGUCUCUAAUCAGCCAAUUAGACAACUUAAUGGCAAAUGCUAGCUAUGUUCGUGUAGUCAUAAUGCAGUGAGGAUGCCUUACUCAGAACACGAAUCAGUAUUUCAGUGUUAAUGCCAACAUUCAGGUCAUCUAAUGUAUCUUUAAGUACAACUUGACCCAACACGUAUCUUUAAACAUUAUCUGUCAACAAACCCCAGCUUCAUUAAAGUCUCUGCUAAAACAUCCCCAUCCCUUCAUCGGUGUAGCCUCACAGUAACAUGUUCGCUCAUUGCAAGGCUGAUGGCUUUAUCAUCCCACUAACCCAAUCUUUUGUUUGGCAAAGGUCUCGCUUUUAUUCCUGUUUGCAAAUGAGUAAUACUAAGCUUCCCAAGAGCUUAAUUGCUUUUGUGUGCAAUACUACAGCUUAAUAUGGGCAGUUGUUUGUAGGUACUUACUAUAUAUCCUUGUAGUACCUGAUAAUAAACAUCAUGUGCAAAAUUAACUGCAACAUGGCUUGUUAAUUAUAAAAGGUGCACUAAAGUGUAUGUUUCAUUUAACAAAAUGAUUAGUUAUAAAUAUUUUAUUGCAACAGCAGGCUGUUCUGUACACUGCACAGUGGUAAACAGGGACAUUUUACUGCAGUGGGUCCAGCCCUGCUUUUUGUCACCUGAAAGGGAGCAGGAUUAAAGCUGUCCCUGAUCGGCUUCCCCAGGACGGCCUGGCUCUUCCCAGGGACCGGGGUCAAGCCACUUCACCAGCUUGCAUGGCUAGAAAUUAAGCUCAAGGGGCUUGCACAAGUCCACACAGCAUGUAAAUGCAUACGUAUAUAGCUAUGCCUGAGUUGAAAGAAGACCAUUUAAUGUUUCUAUAAUAUUUUGGAAUCAAAACAAAGUGCCUCUCUCUGGGAGAUGCAACACUUUCCCCCCAGUAACCACCCACAGGGAAAAGGAGUGAGUGGCUAGGUGUGAGGAAGUUUGGGGGCCAGCUGGCCAAGCUGUGUAGUCAAUCAGUGUCAUCUCUCAUUUGCACUGAGCGUUUCUGGGUACCAAAUACUUUGGAGGCAGGCUCUCAACAAGCAUUAGCUGCCUUUCGUGUUCACUCACCAUCAAGGCCAGGAUGCAUCCUCAUACUACCAUUUAUGUCCGACUUCAAGCUGAAUAAACACCCAAGCAUAUCAUAGGAUCACAGAAUCAUUUAGGUUGGAAGAGACCUUCAAGAUCACCAAGUCCAACCAUCAACCCAGCCUACCAAGUCCCAUCCCUUAGUGCCACGUCCACACAUCUCCUGAAUGCUUUCAGGGAUGAGGACUCCACCACCACCCUGGGCAGCCCAUUCCAAUGCUUGACCACCCCCUCCAUGAAGAAAUUCUUCCUAAUGUGCUAUCUAUCUAAACCUCCCCUGGCACUACUUGAGACCAUUUCCUUGUGUCCUAUCACUUGUUGCCUGAGAAAAGUGGCCCACACCCACCUUGUUACAACCUCCUUUUGGUAGCUGCAGAGAGCAAUGAGGUUUCCCCUCAGCCUCAUCUUCUCCAGACUAAAGUGGCUAGAGCCAUAAAAUUAAGAUUAUAGCAAACAACCUUUUUAAUGAUACAGCUUUCUACAUCCAAUGAGAGAUUGUAGAAGAAGUAUGACAUGGGACUAUAACUGCUGUCAAAGCCAGAGAUUUGCAACGGUGUGAAUGGUGACACAGAAAAGGGGGAGGAUGGUGUGCUGAUGCAGAAGUGGUACUGGCUGCAGCAGCAGCCGUGCUCACCCGUCUUCUCCUAAACGGCAAGAGAAGAGGUUGCCGUCCCCACAAUCCAAGGGACGACAAGAUGCUGCUGCCAAACCUGAGCUGUGGGAGUGGCUGCCCUCUGACACCUCCAUGGACCUCAAACACCUUGCUGAGAUCAUAGGCAAGUGUUAUGGGACCUUCCCCAGGCUGAGCACAGUGUAGACUGCAUCCUAUUAAAUAUAUGGAGAAUGAAGAGCCAUUGUGCCCCACUGAGGACAAGACCUUUACUUGUUACCUGUAGCACUGACAGAUCAAUUAUUCCACAAUAUCUUUUCUUAUUGGUGGGGUGACCUUUGUCUCCUGCCUUCACAAAGUCUCACUACUGCAAUCAAGUGUAAGAAGAUGGACCUGUACAACUUUCCCUCAGGUACUUGUCUGAAUUAGAGUUUAUGCACCUCAUUGUUUGCCUUAAUGUGUUUUUUAUUACUUCAGGGAAACCUUUUGCCUUUGCUAAAGUCUUGGUGUUCCUCACGUCCUCCUAGAGGUAAGACUUUCCAGAUGCCGCAGGAGUACAACUCUUCUCCAACCAAUAAAUGCCAUUUUUUAAACCACCAGCAGCUCCCCAUUACAGAACAUCAGCAGCUACCAUCCAAACAUGAUGUGCCCAUGAACUGUGGCUGCAAUGGACGCUUUUCUGCAAGGACCACUUUCCAGAUGGGAGAUGCUGGAGGAAAUGAAAAGGGUAGGCAUUUUCAGCAAAAUGAAGUGCCUCAGGGAUUUCAUGUCCUCAUGCAGGCAAGAGCAGCUACUGGGAACUGGGGAUCUCAAAUUACAUUUCCAGCAAAACCACGCUGCAUGUGCACAUACGUUGCAUGUAUGCUGCCGUGUACUUGCUGCAUAGGAAGGAUGAUACCGUUCUGCAGAUAGUUUUCUAUUGUGAUUUUAUUGUAAUUUAGAUUCCCUCUGCAGCAUAACAUAUCACAGGUAGUGGGAAGAAACGCUCUUUUCUCAUUAUUAAAGUGAUCAGUAAUUUUUAUAGCUUGUAUAAGCUGAUGUUUAGCUACCUAAAGGUUCACAGUAUGAGAUUGCCUGGAUCAGGAUACUGCUGCAUUUGGAAGAAAAAAAUGUACCUUUUUUGUGCUGGUCCCCCAUCUGCAAAAAAAUGGCAUAAAACCUGGAUUUUUGAAGUCUGUCUGGUGCAGAGGCAUGCUAGCUCCCAACCAUGUAGGGGGACAACAGACUGUAGGGCUGGGGAUGCUGCAUGACCACAUUUCCCAAGGCUGUGGGGGCAAAGGCAUUGGGAUGGCGAGGUUCAUCCUGAAUAAACCCACCUGAUGAAACAUCUCAUAGGCAGGGCUGAAUCUAAUCAAAUUUGGGAGUGGUAUGCUGAGGCUCAGGUGGUUUUUAGAAGACUGUCCAUCCAGCAUGUCCUGGUUGCAGUGCAGGGAUAGGAGCAGGGACACUGGUGUGCAGUAUGCCUUUGGGUAGUUUGAGCCCAACUGGGGUUUCAGGAUCAUUUUCCUAAAUUCUUGUUCUAUUUGUACAAAACCCAGAAAGAAGCUAGGAUCCUCUACCAAGCAAACUGUAAAAUAGAAUAAGAAGUGCAUUUUACAGAAAAAUUUUCAUAAGAAAAUGUGAACCCCAUUUAACACUUUCUCUGUCUAAUAUACCAUAAGCCAUAACUUAAAUCCUACUAAUGAGUUUCUGAGGCUGAGGUUCUCACUCCUGUUUUUGGAUGGCUAAAAGAUUUGUUCUCCAAGUUAGAGAAAAAGAAAUUAAAAGAGCCCCAAAGCUGUUCCACAUCCACCCUCACCCACUGGAUUUCCCCCUGUCAUAGCAUGGUCUAUUUUCAUGAAAUGCCUUUCAACUCGCUCGUGACUCUGAAAAGUGUGGCUGAUAGGACUUUGAGACAAACAAGUGAAGAAGAACUGUAUUAGUAUGCAUUAUUUUCACAACAGAUUUCUAGUCAGCUGGAAAUAAUGGGGUUUUGCAGUCUCAGUUUCAAUAUUGGUUUCUGGAUGAGUACCAGAAUUUCAGAAAUGUCUUUUUUUUUUUUCUUUUUUUUUUUCUUUUCUUUUUUUUUCUUUUUUUUUUUAUUUUUUCUUUUUUCCCUAACAUGCAUCAGAUUAAUCCAGCUAAGGGUUCAUUUUACAUAAAAGUGCCGAACCCUUCAUGACAGAGCAAAAUGUGGCCCAAACACUGUUCUGUUCAGUUUUCAGUUAUCCUACAAUCCUGUUGUUUUCACUCAAGGCAAACAACCCGCCUUCCAUCUUUCCACAACAAACAAGUAACCACUCUGGAUACAAGCACAAAUGAUACAUUUAAAACAUAUCAUGAUUUUGUUUCAAUAUUCCAUAUUUUUUGAAUGCCUAAUAAUCUGUAUUUCUGGAGAAAUUUGGUGACUGGCAGCACAGAAGCUGUUGAAUGAUUUCUCCUGCCUGCAGGAGCAGGUCCACAGAGCAGAGCCAGGUUUUAACAAACUGCUGUCUUGCUUCUCAAGCAUUUUAAAAUUGUAUUUCACUUACUGUGCUAUGUGGACUCAUGCACUUCUUCAUUAUCUGCUUAAGCUUCUCUACACCCAAUGAUUUAUUGUUCUUAUUUUCCAGCUCCUGGCAGUAAAAGAACACAUUGCUGAAAAAGAUUGCAUUUGGUUUGCUUAAAAAUCAUUCAUUAGUAAGUGUGUUAAUGUGAGCCUACACUUCUGAAAAAAAAAUUGUCUAGAAAUACAAUAAUUUUCUUAAAUCCAUGCUGAGUUCAUUAUUCUAGUAGGCAAGAAAAUACAGCUUUGUAUUAGCACCUUGGGAUGGAUCCUGUCACCUGACUUGGAGAAAUUGUGACAACUGGGUUUAAUCUCUCAUGCUGCUUGCAGCCUGACUAUACCAUUUAAUAAAAUGCAAAUCUGCUUGGCUACUGUUCAGUCA